UUCACCUGUCCAAUCACCCCAUCGAACUUAUCGCCAAUCAAAGCAAUGAUAUCGUCAACAGAAAGAAUUGUUUUCUUCUCGGUACAUAUCUGAAAAGAAAAUCGGAUUCCAUCAAAAGAAGAAGAAAAGAAACAAAAAAUUUCAGCU